AAUUCUGAUCCAGUUCAUGUUGCAUUGCUUUUGUGACACA
rnacentral:sRNA from 1 species